UUUUACUAGAGUUUUAUGUGAGAAGGGAGAAUUUCUGGAGGAGAGAUGGAAUAUGUUGAUACCAGAAGGACUGGUAACGGCGAAGGCAUCCUUCUAUGUAAAAACUGACGUUGAGGGACGAAGGCUUGGGUAGCAAUAAGGAUUAGAUACCCUAGUAGUCCAAGCAGACAAUGAUGAAUGUCAUAGAC
rnacentral:rRNA from 1 species